rnacentral:lncRNA from 1 species
UUGACCUUUGACAUUACCGUUACAGUGAUGAUAAUAAAGAUAAUGAAAACUAUUUUAUAUGCAAUUUCUAUCCUGAAAUUUAUAGGGCUUUAAUAUUUCUUCCCUUAUUCAUCCUCAGAGCAUACCUGGGAAGUAGGAGAGAAAAUUGUUAGUACCUCCAUCACGUGGGCGACAUCUGUCAUUUCAAUUUGAUAUUUGCAUCGACUUGGACACCCACAUUCACCUCUUGGCAAUGCUUUGUUUCCUUGUCUCUUAGGACGGAACAUGCUGCUGGUUUUUCCAUGUCUCGGUCUCCUUCUGCUGAGUAUUCUUCUAUUUCAAUCAUGAGUGUAGCAGCCCAUUUCAACAUACUGAAAACACUCACCCUAGGUAAGUAUCCAUCCCUGUACCUCUGCUCCAUUUAAAUGGCAGCUGCUCUGGGUUCCAGGUGGCAGUGUUAGCACCUGUUCGUUUACUAAUGGAGGUCUAGAACAUAAGGUGCAGCAUCUGGCAAAGGGUACAGGCUUGGGAAUUAAUUGCUGAGUAAACCUCAUUCCAAUCCUGUCUGUCUCUCCAAACUCCAGACCACAUAUCCGACGACUUGCUCAACAUCUCCAGAUUAACAGCUCACAGGACUUCACACUUGACAUUUCCCAAGCCUGCUUCCUGCCCAGGAUGCCCUUUUGUAGAAAGCAGCCCCACCGUACAAGCCAUUGUCAGGCCGGCUUCCUGGGAGACUGACUCCAGUCUCCUCCCAUCACCUCAUUUCACAUAUUAAUUCACCGCCAAAUCUUGGUGUUUCUCUUUCCUGAAUAGUUCUCACACUUAUCCACGUCUCCUUCACCCCCACUGGCACGACCCGGAUGUGGGACAGCACCAGCUCUCUCCACUGCAGCCCCUUCCCUGGCUUCCAGUCUCAUUUCCCAUCAGUCCCUUCUCUUCUCUGCUACCAGGGUAGAACUUUUUUUUUUUUUUUUUUUUUUGAGAAGGAGUCUUGCUCUGUCACCCAGGCCUCAGUUCAGUGGCACGGUUUUGGUUCACUGCAACUUCUGCCUCUCAGGUUCAAGCAAUUCUCCUGCCACAGCCUCCCGAGUAGCUGAGAUUACAGGCACCCACCACCACACCCGUCUAACUGUUACUUUUUUUUGGUAGAGACGGGGUUUCACCAUGUUGGCCAGGCUGGUCUUGAACUCCUGACCUCAGGUGAUCCACCCGCCUGGGCCUCCCAAAAUGCUGGGAUUCCAGGCGUGAGCCACCGCACCCGGCCCCAGGGUAGAACUUUUAAAAUGCAAUCUGGUCAGCAUUGUGGCCCAAAAGCCUUCAAUAGUUUCCCAGUUCACUCAGGAGAAAGCCAUAUUUUUCAGGUUUUGACUCGUGUCAAUUUUAAGGAAGACUUCUUACAUCUGGACCCAACACACACACACACGUGAGUGCACACACGCCCAUGCGAGUGCGCACACACCCACGAGAGUGCACACACACGCACGCACACAUAUUUUGAUGGGUCAUGAUUCUCAGAUAAGAAAUA